UUAAAAACAUGUUUUAUAUUUUACCUGUAUUAUUUUUAAAUAUUUAAAUUACAUAUAUAUUAACUUUCAAGAUACAAAGAAGAUAACCCCUGGUCCAUAAGCGUGAAAUGAGAACUGGCACAGCCUCCCAGUGUAAUAAGUGUAUAUAUUUAUUAUUAUUAAAAAUGUAAUAAUUAUUUACAUGGAUACAGCAAUAAAUAUAUCAAAAAAUAACAGUCAAGAUUACCACUGUGGCGAAUAUUUCUUGAUGUUUUUAUUUUUAUUUUUUAACGUUCAACAAACAAUAAAAAGCUAUAUUGCAUUUGUUUGGAUGUUAGGUUAUAAAAUGGUAUGUCAAACGAUACACAUAGUAUGAUGAUUAUGUGGAAUUUAUGCCAUAAAUUUUUCAAUAUAAUAUGUCAAGUAAAUUGCAAUGGAACUCGAGUUUAAUAUAAAAAUACAACGAUUCGAAUAGUCAGUGAAAAGACAGAAAACUAAUGUUUAAAAUGUACAAUUACAGUAUUCUAUGCCAUACAUCAAAACAUAUAUUUUAAAUUAAUAAAAAUUGAUUUAUAAGAUA